UACAGUUUUAGGCUUCAGGCUUCACAUAGGCUGGGCUCCGGACUUGAAAGAUCUCAGCUGCUGUCCCUAAUCACUGGGGAUCCUAGUAACCAUAAUGUUUUCCAUGGGAAACAGGGUUCGAACCAGAUAACCCAGAGCUUCCAGAACGACCAGAAUAUCCACCAUAACUGCUGCCACCACCCUGAUAACCACCAUACCGUCCAUAGCCUUCAGAG
rnacentral:misc_RNA from 1 species